UCUAUACUAUGCUGCCACCGCAGUGUGCUGCCACCGGUCAAAACUCCCAAAAGUGAUAGGCGGCCCCAACUAUACUUGGAGUUGAACUCGCAAUCGAAUGACCGUUAUGUUUACAAACAAGAUGCCUUGCGCGCAUACGGCCGGCCGAUGACCCCCUGCUGUGACAAUUAGCGCGUCUCACAUCAGAGCAGACAAUAAGAGAAGGCUGCUUAAAUUAUCCUUUCUAUAUACGUCUUUGCUAAAAGUAACAAUGGACGUUAUACUCGUGACGUAUACAUUGCAAGAGCGGGUAGACUGCAGUAUUUGGGUCCCAACUUCGGAACGAACGUUUUUACGUAUUUACGGAAGUUGUCGAAUAAAAACGUUCCACGCAUGUGCACUUCGUUAUUUACGGUCGAAGCGAGAGGAAAGUAGGCCGCCAUUUUUUCUACCCUACCGCAAGAGCAUUCAUGAAAAUGCUAAGAAAAAAAUAUAACCACCCGUUCUAGCGUUUUUCUACAGUAGAUAAAUGUCGUGUCCCGCCGUGUUUGUUCGUCUGGUGGGGCCACCAUUGUGCAGUCAUUGCCUGGGUCAGUUUAGCGCCAGCGCAGCAUACUCAGGGAACCAGGCUGUCACACUGAUGGCAGUGAUGUUACAGAGAGUGUAAACGAAGGUGUGAGGCGCUGGGGGGAGCUUGGUAAGAGAGCUUGGUGAACGGGAUAUCGCUGUGAGGAGCUUAGUAAGUUCGGCCUCGAUCUUCUCACAAACCAGUCUACCAUUUGACUAGCGUUGUAUUUGGAAUGAGUGAUCGUCAAGUGCUCUAUUGUGCUCUGUAAACGAAGAUGGCGCAAGAACAGGUGGCUGCGGCUGUCAGAUGAGGCUCCACGGGGCAUGGGAGUGGUGUGGCAUCAAUCAUACAACUGUCAGCUUAUGAGGAGUGGAUCACAGGAACCUUCCUGCAACUGAUAAAAAACGUCACAGGAACCCAACUUCAGUUUCAACAGAUGUAGCCUGACAUACUUUAUUCUUAUCCCAGGUUGGAAAGGAUCGCCGUUUCAAUUUUCGACAUAUACUGUAAAUCUUGAAAUUAAUGCGAGCGUGAAUUAAAUGCAAAAAAUGCGUGUAUUCUUUGCUCACAUUAUUAAACAUCACAUUUAUAUCAACAAUAAGACAUUUUGGAUAGCAGAAAUAUCAACUUAGACAUACAUCGAAACCAACCACUAUGUAUUCCACUGUUUAUUGAGCAGCACUUGUAACAAGUAUAUAAACAAUGUCAUUCAAACACAAAUUACAUCAUGUGAAUUGUCACUGCUAGGGUCAAGACAAGAGAUCUACUCACUAAUGCCAUCACUGAUCACACCUGCAAGUCCAUACAGACGCCACCAAUGCAACACAGUGUCAUUGUUCUUUGCGACUGUCAAAGGCCGACACGUGCCAGUGCUCAUGGAUAGGCUUCAUCACACCACUUUUUAGAUUGACAGCCUUUGUUUUGUCACCCGUCAUAAAGUUUGUUGACAUUU